rnacentral:lncRNA from 1 species
AUGGCCUUUAGGUCCUCCAGGACACUGGAAGUGACUGUCGGUCCUCCCACGGCAUCGUCUAGCGGGCCUCCAAGGGACCGGAAGUGCCCGUCACUCCCUCGGAAGUGCAUCUCUAUGGUCCCACGGUCCUCCGAGAAACAGGAAAAGCUCCUUAGUCCUCAGAGAUUCCGUCUCUGCGGCGUUUGGGUCCUCCAGGUCCUCCGCCUUUUAGAGCUGGGGACAGAACCAGAUGGGAACUCAGACCUGCCCUGCUGUGAGACAUCUGCCUCAAGUCACUGUGGAACUAGGUCCUCAUUUUCCAGUGCUUCUGACUGGGCUAUCAUCUUAAGAUUAAGCAGCAAAGAACUGAAUGUCAAUCUUUGGAACUCAGCAGUGAAAAAAUCUCAGUGCAACCUCAACAUUCGCAUAUUGACAGUAAUUUUAGGAUGCAAAGAGGCUCUACAAGACUUGAGUGCUAAUGUUGUUGAUGAGCUAUGAAAGAUAUCAGAAGGCACCUUAAUUUCAGGAAGCGAAUGACGUACUCCUAAUGGUGCAGUAAGUAUUUAAGUGGUGAAGUUUCUCAAUUUAAAAAAAAAAAAACCUAGCAAAUAUUGUCUUUAUGCUCAGCACAUUACCUAAUUAAAGCAAAUUGCUGAAACAUUUCUGCUUUUUUGUCUCCUUUCCGUCAUCAGCAUGCCAUUAUUAAGCCCAACGUUACUUAGGUGUAUCUUUCUGUUGAUAAUUUUCAUUUAGUGUCUGUUUUUAUUGCUAAGUUUCACUAGAGAGAUUAGUAGAAUGAGAAGUUAUCUGGCAAAUAAAUGGCAGAACAAGUGAUUUUU